rnacentral:rRNA from 1 species
UACAUGGGGUGCAAACGUUGCUCGGAAUCAUUGGGCGUAAAGCGCACGUAGGCGGUUCGUUAUGUCGGAUGUGAAAGCCCUCGGCUUAACCGGGGAAGUGCAUCCGAAACUGGCGAGCUUGAGUACUAAAGAGGGUCGCGGAAUUCCCGGUGUAGAGGUGAAAUUCGUAGAUAUCGGGAGGAACACCGGUGGCGAAGGCGGGUCUCUGGGCCGAAACUGACGCUGAGGAGCGAAAGCGUGGGGAGCAAACAGG